rnacentral:misc_RNA from 1 species
GCGAGCUAUGGCCCUCACGGGUCUAAUCCACCAUAAACACCUUUGUGAACCAGUCAGGGGGACUCGGCCGUGAAAGCCCAGGCGAUUAGCGGAAGGGCCCUCCUUUGCAAACCCGUUUAGAAGUCUUGAAAGUACUUUUGUAUAAUCUAGUA